rnacentral:lncRNA from 1 species
CUGUGAUGGAACAUGCUCCAACUGAUACCAUUUUCAGCACCUGAGAUGGUUAAGCCAUGUCCAUCAUUUCCAGACUCCGGACCGUGAGAUGGUGCUACCCAGAUCCAGGGUGUAUCUCUGUGGGGAUGUUCUCGCAUGCACAUACCUCCUCAUUGAUUGAAACCUCAGUCCAGGUGGCCUUGAAGAUUAAUCAUCACAGUAGCAGCCAACCCACUGCCCUGAGCUCUACAGGAUCUUCCACGUCCUCAGAUGCCAGCCUGAAAAUUAUACCCAACAUAUCCACACCUCCCUCACUACCUCAUUCUACUACUUUGGUAUAGAUUUAUUUCAAAGGUCCUCCUUCUGGCCCAGACUGUGGCUUUAGUGAAUCCCCUGCCCCUCUGGACCAUCUGGUGUAGCCUGGAAUAGUGAAGAAGCUGAAGAUAUUUUCCAUACAGGAAGGAGAAGGUUUUGCUCUUAUCCCUUAAUAAAAAUGUUCUGUGAACCA